CAAAAGCGUAUAUUAAAGUUGUUGCAGUUAAAAAGCUCGUAGUUGAACCUUGGGCUUGGCUGGCCGGUCCAUCUUUUUUGAUGCGUACUGGACCCAGCCGAGCCUUUCCUUCUGGCUAGCCUUUUGGCGAACCAGGACUUUUACUUUGAAAAAAUUAGGGUGUUCAAAGCAGGCCUUUGCUCGAAUAUAUUAGCAUGGAAUAAUAGAAUAGGACGUUAUGGUUCUAUUUUGUUGGUUUCUAGGACCAUCGUAAUGAUUAAUAGGGACGGUCGGGGGUAUCAGUAUUCAGUUGUCAGAGGUGAAAUUCUUGGAUUUACUGAAGACUAACUACUGCGAAAGCAUUUACCAAGGACGUUUUCAUUAA
rnacentral:rRNA from 1 species